UUUAUGGAGAGUUUGAUCCUGGCUCAGGAUGAACGCUGGCGGCGUGCCUAAUACAUGCAAGUCGAGCGAACGGACGAGAAGCUUGCUUCUCUGAUGUUAGCGGCGGACGGGUGAGUAACACGUGGAUAACCUACCUAUAAGACUGGGAUAACUUCGGGAAACCGGAGCUAAUACCGGAUAAUAUUUUGAACCGCAUGGUUCAAAAGUAAAAGACGGUCUUGCUGUCACUUAUAGAUGGAUCCGCGCUGCAUUAGCUAGUUGGUAAGGUAACGGCUUACCAAGGCAACGAUGCAUAGCCGACCUGAGAGGGUGAUCGGCCACACUGGAACUGAGACACGGU
rnacentral:rRNA from 1 species